GACGAACGCUGGCGGCGUGCUUAACACAUGCAAGUCGAACGGAAAGGCCUUUUCGGAGGUACUCGAGUGGCGAACGGGUGAGUAACACGUGGGUGAUCUGCCCUGCACUCUGGGAUAAGCCUGGGAAACUGGGUCUAAUACCGGAUAGGACCGCACUUUAGUGUGCGUGGUGGAAAGUUUUUUCGGUGUAGGAUGAGCCCGCGGCCUAUCAGCUUGUUGGUGGGGUAAUGGCCUACCAAGGCGGCGACGGGUAGCCGGACUGAGAGGUUGGUCGGCCACAUUGGGACUGAGAUACGGCCCAGACUCCUACGGGAGGCAGCAGUGGGGAAUAUUGCACAAUGGGCGCAAGCCUGAUGCAGCGACGCCGCGUGGGGGAUGACGGCCUUCGGGUUGUAAACUCCUUUCGCCAGGGACGAAGCGUUUUGUGACGGUACCUGGAGAAGAAGCACCGGCUAACUACGUG
rnacentral:rRNA from 1 species